AAAUGUCUAAGUUUAGUAGUUGCUGUGUAACAUCCCCCUGAGGUACAAGUGGAACUGAAAGAGUUUCAUCAUAGGUUAUGACUGCAUCAGUGCAGGAGUCCUAAAAAAAUAACGCACAAUUUCAACAAGAAGACCUUACCCUUGGACCAGUCGAGCCAACAUCUGCUGCAACACGACCAGGAGCUGCUGCUGCUACUCACCUUGACAGGGGACUGGGCCAAGAAAAACAGCGCCGCUGAACUGGUUCCUGGCUGAGAAGUAGAGCUGGGAUGCAGCAAAACACAAGAUCUCUUCCCUGCUGAGAAGCAGCCUCUGCAGCUGGUGCAGAGCAGCAGCCCAGGUCUCCAGGAAGAGCUGCCAAUGGUGGAGGAAGUACCAUUCGUGGGUGAGAUCUAUGCUCCGCAACUACCACCUGUGCGCCAAGGGACAAAACAAAAUGGCAGCGUGGCCUGCUAACUGUGGCCUGUGAUGGGGAGCCAGGCUGGUGCCCAUACUGCAUUAGCCACUUAGUGCAUCCAUCACUUUCCUUCCUCCUUGAAAUUCUUUAGUCUGCAGGUGUCACCCCAGGUAACAGUACAAGCCAGGUCUUUGCACAAACAGGUUUUAUUCCAUAACACCAACCCACCCUUGGAGCAGCUCAAAUACACAGGCAGCAAAGAACAGGGGGAGGGUGUAUGUGGUGUCUCUGCCACUGUCCCUGUCUCUCUACCCCCUCACCCCCCCGAAGCUUCUCAGGACACACACCCACAGGUCAGCAGGGGGUGUAUGUGACACCAAGUCAGGCUCUGGGCAGGUAGGGGUGUCCCCCUGGAGUCAAGCUGGAAGAGCAGGGCCCAGGGCUUGGUUUGUAGGCACUGCCUCCCCUCACCACAGUUGCGUCUCCCGGAUUUCAGAAAUGGUCUGGCUGGCUCGCUGCAAGGCCUGAUGGGAGACAGAAGACAUUACCACAGGCAGGGGGCAGAGAGACCACCCCCAAACAUAGUCCUCCCCUCACCUGGAGCAGCCCAGCAGCCUCCUUGCGCUGCUGUGCCAUGUCCUCGGACUCUGUGAGCAGCAUGUCCAGCAGCUGCUGCUUGUAUAGCUGCCCAACCAGCUGGCUCUGCAGAUGGUCCUUGACAUAGUUCACCAGGAAAUGCAUGACCGUCUUGGGGACGCUGUGGGAUAGGGGCAAAGUCACAAAGGCACCCAUCUAGAGCCCUUCCAACUCCCCGUGGUCCUUAGGGGUCCAGGAGAGGGGCUGCAGCCUCACCCCCGUUCCCACCACGUCUUACCUGUCCUGUAUGCUUUUGCGCACAAUGAGGAAAUAGGAUUUGAUGAGUCUGCGGAUCACCUCGCAAUCCCUCUGCUCCCGCUGGCUCAGCUUCCGUGUGGCCGGCAUGGGCUGUGGGGAGAGACACAGGGCACGGGACUUGGAGGGAAAUGGGGGUCCCGCCACGCAGGGCCUUCCCCCAGGGAUAACAGUAGUAAGGUUAUAAAACCAGGCAAUCUCCAGUAGCACAACGCUGGGAUCACUCACAAAAAGGUCAGAAAAUUCUCCAACACAGAGAUGGGUCGAAGCUGAAGCUAGAAACAUUGAGACUGGAAAUAAGGCAAAAAUCGUUAAGAGUGAAAGAACAGAUUGUGGUGGCCAGUUUUUCCCCUAAGAACGACUUUGGAGCAGUUCUCUGGCCUGUGGGUGUUUGGCGGGGUGGUGGGAAGGGGUGUCAGACUAGAUGAUCAAAAUGGUCCCUGCUGGCCUUGGCAGCGAAGCAGCUCUGAUAAGGUACAAAGGGAGCUGGAGCAGCGAGAUUGGCCCAGACACAGGUGUCCUGCUGUCACUACCCCACCAUCACCUGCCUGUGGGGGGAGGGGGGAAACUCACCGUGUCCAGCAGAUUGACAGCAUGGGAGCGACUGGGGCUGGAAUACAUGGGGGGCUGGGGGUUCCCCUUGGGCUUCUCCUCCAUGCCAGGAUCCUCCACUUUGUCACUCUUCCAGCGCCGUAUCCCCUCCGCAGGGGAGUCAUUCUGGGGAGAGCAGAGACCAGCUGGCCAUCAGCAUGUCAUGUGGAGAGGUGGGGGGCAACACUGGUGCCCAGUGGGGGGGGGGGGGGAAGAGGCUCAGCAGUGGGACAUGGGGGAGGGGAGCAGAGAGACAUUACCUUGCUGCUGCUGACAGAGGCAGACACCAGCGCUGUGUCGAUGAAGUCCGGGUGCUUGGUGUUGAUAUAGGCGAGCUCGAUUGCAACCAGAUUAUGAACCUGCAGGGGAGAGAGAUGGGAUAGGAUGGAGCCUGGUGAGGGAGCCCAGGAAUCUGGGCUCCCUGCACUGGGGCCCAGCAUGGUGGAUUAAAAAAAAAAAACCCUAUAAGCUUCAAAACACAAAAAAGUAUUUAAAUUAAACUCAAUAAAUGUGAUUUUUGUUGUGAAGCUGUUUAAAAUAAUAUUGAGAGUAUUGUGAGUUUAGCCCUUAACACAGGUUGCCAGAAUUGUAAUGGAUUUUAAUCAAAAGCAGUACAUGUUUGCUGCUGACAUCUUAAAGAACAUCAAACCGCGGAAGUCACUGGCUCAGCCCUGGGAACCAGAGUUUGUUGAAGGUUAAACCAGGUUUUGAGAGCAGAGAGAAUACUUCCUUCAUUUCAGUUUGUUCAAAAGUUCAAAACCCAACCAGGAGUUGGAUAAGCUGGAAUCCUUGUAAAAUCUCAGACUAGAAGAGGGAAACAACUAGUAGAUCUCGUGCUCUUACACUUAGCUUUCAUUCAAAGGACAUGGUGAAAGGCCUAUGUUGAAUAACUGAUGUUAGUUUUAAAUGCAAAACAUGUUUUGAUUUACAUUUGUUCUUAUGGACCAGCAUAUUUAAAGGUAAUUUAAUUUUCUUAGUUGUAAUUUGUGUCCAAAUCUAUUUGGAUGGAAACUAGAAUUCCAUUAAAAGUGCCCAGAAACAGCAUUUCAUUGUUUUUAUUAAUUAUCUAGUAAAUAAAAAUGCAUCAUUCACGAUUUUCUAUCAUAAAAUUAAACUCUGAAUAAAUGUAAGUUCAGCUACGUAAUGGUUUAAAUAAAUCUGUACAGAUCUAGUGUAUCCACCUGCUUUGCAGAAAGUACCACCACACUUAGUGUAAACACCAUAUUUAGUUGCAAAUUAACAUGGUUUAAUGGUUAGCCAGUGAGAAUUUACCUUUUAAGUUAUUUUCCUAAAAAUUACAAAUGCAAAAUAUGAUUAAAGUUGGUGAUUUAAA